AGUGAACGCUGGCGGUAGGCCUAACACAUGCAAGUCGAACGGCAGCACAGUAAGAGCUUGCUCUUACGGGUGGCGAGUGGCGGACGGGUGAGGAAUACAUCGGAAUCUACUUUUUCGUGGGGGAUAACGUAGGGAAACUUACGCUAAUACCGCAUACGACCUACGGGUGAAAGCAGGGGAUCUUCGGACCUUGCGCGAUUGAAUGAGCCGAUGUCGGAUUAGCUAGUUGGCGGGGUAAAGGCCCACCAAGGCGACGAUCCGUAGCUGGUCUGAGAGGAUGAACCACCACCUGGGAACAGAGACAGGUCCGAGCCUCCGGGGGAGGGAAACGGCGGGGAUUAUUGGACAAGGGACCAAAGCUGAAUCCAGCAAUACGGGGGGGAGAAAGAAGCCCUUGGGGUGUAAAAGCCUUUUUGUGGGGAAAAAAAAGAAGCUGUUUAACCCCCGGUUGUUCUGACGGUACCAAAAGAAUAAGCCCCGGCUAACUCCGUG
rnacentral:rRNA from 1 species